GAUGAACGCUGGCGGCGUGCCUAAUACAUGCAAGUCGAGCGAACAGACGAGGAGCUUGCUCCUCUGACGUUAGCGGCGGACGGGUGAGUAACACGUGGAUAACCUACCUAUAAGACUGGGAUAACUUCGGGAAACCGGAGCUAAUACCGGAUAAUAUAUUGAACCGCAUGGUUCAAUAGUGAAAGACGGUUUUGCUGUCACUUAUAGAUGGAUCCGCGCCGCAUUAGCUAGUUGGUAAGGUAACGGCUUACCAAGGCAACGAUGCGUAGCCGACCUGAGAGGGUGAUCGGCCAAACUGGAACUGAGACACGGUCCAGACUCCUACGGGAGGCAGCAGUAGGGAAUCUUCCGCAAAGGGCGAAAGCCUGACGGAGCAACGCCGCGUGGGUGAUGAAGGUCUUCGGAUCGUAAAACUCUGUUAUUAGGGAAGAACAAAUGUGUAAGUAACUAUGCACGUCUUGACGGUACCAAAUCAGAAAGCCACGGCUAACUACGUG
rnacentral:rRNA from 1 species